AGUCUGCGGGCCCGGCCGGAGGAGGAGGAGGAGGAGAGGGAGAGGGUCCGGGGGCUGGAGGUCCGGGGCCUGUCAGAUGUGAGUGAGCGGCACGGUGCCGUUGACCCCCGUCCCGGCAGUCUGGUAGUGCUGGUGGACGCCGUGCAAGCGGCCUCCCUGCAGGGAGGAAGGGUCUGUGGCGUCGCCGCCGGGCGGCAGGUACAUGCUGAUCAUAUCCCGCAGGUCGCCCAGGCAAGCCCGCUGCGAGUGCGAGGAGUGCGAGGAGGGGUGCGAGGGGAGGGCGGGCGGGGGCGAGCUGGGCUCCGACUUGACGACGGAGCCGCCGGCCGGUCCCGGGCCCAGGCUCAUGGCGGCGGCGGCGGCGGCGGCGGCGGCGGCGGAGGAGGAGGCCGGAGGCUGCUGGCCGUAGGCGGCCGGGGACACGGCCCCGUAGGCGGCGGCGGCGGCGGCGGCCGCCAUGUAGCUCUGGGCCGCCGGCAUGACCGGUCCGUACUGCAGCCCGGCCAUGUCGUAGCGGUGCAUCUGCGGCAGCUGCGGGCCGCCCAUGGCCGGGUGCUGCGGGUAGCCCAGCUGGUCGGGCAUCAGCGAGUAGGCCCCGUUGGUCCAGCCGUUGACGUGGGCGUAGCCGUCCAGCCUCUGGCCCACCGCCACGGGGCUCCCCACGGCGCCGGCCCCCGGGGCCAGCAGGUUGGCCGGCAGCGAGUACUUGUCCUUCUUCAGCAGCGUCUUGGUCUUUCUCCGCGGCCGGUAUUUAUAAUCCGGAUACUCCUUCAUGUGCACGGCCCGCAGCCGCUUGGCCUCGUCGAUGAAGGGCCGCUUCUCGGCGUCCGUCAGCAGCUUCCAGUCGGCGCCCAGGCGCUUGCUGAUCUCCGAGUUGUGCAUCUUGGGGUUCUCCUGGGCCAUCUUGCGCCGCUGCCCGCGGGACCAGACCAUGAAGGCGUUCAUGGGCCGCUUGACCCGGUCCUGGUCGCCCCCUCCUCCGGCUCCGGCUCCGGCUCCGGCCCCUCCGCCGGCCUUGCCGUUGCCCCCCGGGCCCGCGUUGCCGCCCGGGGCGGGAGGGGCCCCGGGGCUCUUCAUGUCCCCCCCGUCCAACAUGCUGUACAUGGCCGGGGCCGGCAGCAGGUGAGCCAGCUCGGACCAGGGCGGCGGGACCGAGUGCGGGAACUUCUGCGGGCGCCUCCGCUCCCCCGCCUUCAACCGGACGGCAGAACAGAGCCCAAGGCGGGGGAGCCCAAGGCGGGGGGGGGGCCCGGGGAGGGUCGGGGCGGGGGGGGGUGGGGAGCCCCCAAACACCACAAAACCACCACCGCCCGGACACGCCAAAAAAGCGCAACCUUUCCCCCCCCACCCCACCCCACCGAAAAACAACGGCACAACAAAACCUGGGGACCGUCCUGGUGCGCUGCGGGUCCCCGGCGGCCGCUCUAG
rnacentral:lncRNA from 1 species